UUAAGGGAGACCUACCCGUUGGAAUACCGAACCAUACAGAAUUAGGUAUCUAACUGGUCAUCCCAAGGUCGAGCGAGGAUUGCGCGAAGCUUUCAAACUAUAUCCGGUUCGUUAAGUCAAAGAAGAAUGAAGCUAACGAAAGAAGGCUUCAUUUUUUGAUGACUUAAGAGCUACGUGGUAGGAUAAGAAGUUGUGCGAAUCAGUUUAACUGGUGAGUGCGAUUAAGUAGAACCUAGAAAAUUGCAUAGCAACAAAAAACUGUCAGGUAGUCGUUCUUUGUUUGAUUAAUCAAACAAAGAAACGAGCAGACACUAAGACACCAAUGUAAAGAUUGU
rnacentral:misc_RNA from 1 species